rnacentral:rRNA from 1 species
GGUAUCCCAGCUCCAAUAGUGUAUGUUAAAGUUGCUGCAUUUAAAAAGCUCGUAGUUUGAAUUAGAGACAGAUUUUCCUAAUCAAUANCCUUUCUAGGUUAUAUAGGAUAUAUUUUAUCCUCCAAAAUUCAUACAUUACCCUUUUAUAAUUUAGUUACCCUUUUUAUUUUAUAUAGGGGGGGUUUCUAGAAAAUAUUGGGAUUAAAUGUAUGAUCAAAUUACCUUGAAAAAAUCAAAGCGUUAAAGCAGGUUGUUUAUAUGUCAGAAUGAAUUAGCAUGGGAUAAUAGAAAAGGACUUUUUUUAUUUUUUUUUUAAAAAAGAAAAAGAAUUUUAUAUCUUGGUUUUGGGUUUAAUUACAAGAAAUGUACAUGAUUAAUAGGGAUAGUUGGGGCCACUUGUAUUGACCCGUCAGAGGUGAAAUUCUAGGACCGGUUCAAGACAAACUACUGCGAAAGCAUCUGGCAAGGAUGUUUUCAUUAAUCAAGAACGAAAGUUGCGGGCGCGAAGAUGAUCAGAUACCGUCGUAGUCGCAACUAUAAACUUUGUCGCCCAAGGGGUAGUGGUAGUUACAUGAUGACACCCCUAUAACUUUGUGAGAAAUCACAAGUAUUUGGACUCUGGGGGAAGUAUGGUCGCAAGGCUGAAACUUAAAGGAAUUGACGGAAGGGCACCACCAGGAGUGGAACCUGCGGCUUAAUUUGACUCAACACGGGGAAACUUACCAGGUCCGGACACAAUAAGGAUUGACAGAUUGAUAGCUCUUUCUUGAUUCUGUGGAAAGUGGUGCAUGGCCGUUUUUAGUUGGUGGAUUGAUUUGUCUGGUUAAUUCCGUUAACGAACGAGACCUAAACCUACUAACUAGUUAUUGGUAACUUGGACUCUAAUUUUUUAGAGACCGAAUAUUUAUCUAAACUUCUUAGAGGGACUCUUUAUACAUUAAAUGAAUGGAAGUUUUAGGCAACAACAGGUCUGUGAUGCCCUUAGAUGUUCUGGGCCGCACGCGCGUUACAAUGAAAUGCUCAAUGAGCAAUAACCCUUGCCCUAAGGGGCUUGGGAACCUGUGUAAAGUUUUUCAAGAUUGGGAUAGGUCAUUGUAAGUAUUGCCCUUGAACGAGGAAUUCCUAG